GGCUCAGAACGAACGCUGGCGGCGUGCUUAACACAUGCAAGUCGAACGAGCCUUCGGGUUAGUGGCGGACGGGUGAGUAACGCGUGAGAAUCUGCCCUCAGGAGGGGGAUAACGGUUGGAAACGACCGCUAAUACCCCAUAUGCCGAGAGGUGAAAAGAAAUUCGCCUGAGGAUGAGCUCGCGUCUGAUUAGCUAGUUGGUGUGGUAAUGGCGCAGCAAGGCUUCGAUCAGUAGCUGGUCUGAGAGGAUGAUCAGCCACACUGGGACUGAGACAGAGCCCAGACUCCUACUUGCGGCAGCANUGG
rnacentral:rRNA from 1 species